AUUGAACGCUGGCGGCAGGCCUAACACAUGCAGGUCGAGCGGAUGAAGGGAGCUUGCUCCUGGAUUCCGCGGCGGACGGGUGGGUAAUGCCUAGGAAUCUGCCUGGUAGUGGGGGAUAACGUCCGGACGGGGGCGCUAAUACCGCAUACGUCCUGAGGGAGAAAGUGGGGGAUCUUCGGACCUCACGCUAUCAGCUGAGCCUAGGACGGAUUAGCUAGUUGGUGGGGUAAAGGCCUACCAAGGCGACGAUCCGUAACUGGUCUGAGAGGAUGAUCAGUCACACUGGAACUGAGACACGGUCCAGACUCCUACGGGAGGCAGCAGUGGGGAAUAUUCGACAAUGGGCGAAAGCCUGAUCCAGCCAUGCCGCGUGUGUGAAGAAGGUCUUCGGAUUGUAAAGCACUUUUAGUUGGGAAGAACAGCAGUAUGUUAAUACCUGGCUGUUUUGACGUUACCAACAGAAUAAGCACCGGCUAACUUCGUG
rnacentral:rRNA from 1 species